CAAGGAUGUGAAAAUAGAGACACUGGAAGUAUGUGGUAGCUGAGCCUGUUUGUUUUUGUUGCUCUUUAGGUUUGUCCCAAGAUGAAGGUUCUUGCAGUGAUUGUAACUAUUGUGAUAAGCGCAUGUUCAUUUGCAAAAUUUUGAACCCUUUUCCUAGAAAUUUUCCAAGCAAGUCAGCUUUUGUUUUGGGAAUGAGUCAGAGACUACCAAGACUAUAUUUUAGCUGACUGCAAGGUCUCUGAAGUAAGGGGAUUCAUAGCGGAGUUCUUGGAGAAAGUCCUUGAACCAUCUGGAUGGCAGGCAUUCUGGCACACUGAUGUGCUUGAGUGAUCUGUGGUCUGGUAUGAAGGUAACUGUUAUUGUUUGUCCUGGCCAUUAUGUGGUACAUGGCACAUUCUUCAUUGGUGACCUCAUUGAAUUAGAAGUGUUACAGGACUUCUUAAGUGAACAUUGUGGCAUUCCCAAAAUACCCAUGGUAAAUAAUAUCAUGUGUAAUAACGAAGAUUAUGAUGUUUUGGUGAUACCUUCCAUUUUCUCUUACCUGCAAGAAAAUGCCCAAGAUGAAAUUGAAGGUAUGCUAUAGUUAGUAAUGUUUUUCAUAUAAAAAUCAUAUAUAAUUUACUUUAUUUCAGCAGUAA
rnacentral:lncRNA from 1 species